GUGUGAAUUGCAGAAUCCCGUGAACCAUCGAGUCUUUGAACGCAAGUUGCGCCCGAAGCCACUAGGCCGAGGGCACGUCUGCCUGGGUGUCACGCAUUGUCUUGCCCACAACCACCCACUCCUUGAGGAGUUGUGUUGGUUUGGGGGCGGAAACUGGCCUCCCGUGCCUUGUCGCGCGGUUGGCGGAAAAUCGAGUCUCCGACGACGGAUGUCGUGACAUCGGUGGUUGUAAAAGGCCCUCUUGUCUUGUCACGCGAAUCCUAGUCAUCUUAGCGAGCUCCAGGACCCUUAGGCGCACACACUCUGUGCGCUUUGAUUGUGACCCCAGGUCAGGCGGGACUACCCGCUGAGUUUAAGCAUAUCAAUA
rnacentral:rRNA from 1 species